rnacentral:rRNA from 1 species
AUGAUGGAAAAACUUACCCUUACAUCGGAGAAGGCAAAGUAUGAGUUCCCUUGUUCACUUUUAUCUGAUAGAAGUGGAAACACGAUACGGCAUCUCGACCUUGCUAAUUGUAUCUUGCAUCCCACAGUUAACCUUAAUUUGAGAUGCCUGAUAGUAUUGGAUUUGUACGAAGUGCCUAUCACAGGGGGUGAGUUAGCGAUCCUUCUUUCCAAAUCAUUUGCUCUGGAAAAAUUGACACUCCUACAUUGUCAUGAUAUACGCCGAUGA